rnacentral:lncRNA from 1 species
GUUUCCUGGCCCUGGAGGCGGCCUGUACUCCUCAGCUUGUGCUGCCCUUCUCGAAUGACUCGCGUUUCCUGCUUUCAUCACUACACCUCCCACCGCUCUCCAUCACCUGCUCUGCUCUUAUAAGGAUCCAGAGAAAUGGAAUAAUCUUAUUGCUGAUCUAUGUAAACAAGUUGAAGAAUUGUCUGAAAGAAAAUAUGGUGUGUCUAAACUGGAAAAGUCCUGUAAUACUUUGUUCAUAAGCAUUUACACAAUGGAGUUACUGUUCAUCAUGGGGGUACUGUGGACAAGCCCAGGGCUGCUGACAUGAUCUUAUGAAUUCAACACAUGAAGAUUUACAACUUGAUAAACCAGCUUCAGGAGAUCAGAACUUCUUACAAUACAGCUGACGUUACUCAGCCUAGAACAAAUACAACAGGGAUUGUGCUGCAUUCUGACUUGGAUUCUGCCAUCGAACACAGAAUGCCCUGAUUCUUAGAUGCAGAGGCAGCUCUUCAGCCUAUGGGAAAACUGUGGAUUUAGUUACUCCACUCUGCCAUGUCUUUCCACCACUGCCUGCACAUUUGAGACCAAGGAUAGAGAUUGGGAAAAAUUGAUAGUUCUCCUGCCUCAGAGUUUGGCUCCUGCACUCUCAUUUCAGCCAUAGCUGCAGACAAAGCACACGAUUGCUGGGCACUGUGGCUCAAGAGAAGGAGGAGAUGGUAAGUGGGGGGAUCCCCAUAUUCU